ACUCAAAGGAAUAGACGGGGGCCCGCACAAGCGGUGGAGCAUGUGGUUCAAUUCGACGCAACGCGAAGAACCUUACCUGGGCUCGAACGGCUGCAGACCGGUGGUGGAAACAUCGCCUUUCCCGCAAGGGACUGUAGUCGAGGUGCUGCAUGGCUGUCGUCAGCUCGUGUCGUGAGAUGUUGGGUUAAGUCCCGCAACGAGCGCAACCCUUGUCCUGUGUUGCUAACCGAAAGGUGCACUCUCAGGAGACCGCCAGCGAUAAGUUGGAGGAAGGUGGGGAUGACGUCAAGUCAUCAUGGCCUUUAUGUCCAGGGCUACACACGUGCUACAAUGGCCGGUACAAAGCGCUGCAAACCCGCGAGGGGGAGCCAAUCGCAAAAAACCGGUCUCAGUUCGGAUUGCAGGCUGCAACUCGCCUGCAUGAAGCUGGAAUCGCUAGUAAUGGCGUAUCAGAACGACGCCGUGAAUACGUUCCCGGGCCUUGUACACACCGCCCGU
rnacentral:rRNA from 1 species